rnacentral:rRNA from 1 species
UACGGGGGGGGCAAGCGUUGUUCGGAAUUACUGGGCGUAAAGGGCUCGUAGGCGGCCAACUAAGUCAGACGUGAAAUCCCUCGGCUUAACCGGGGAACUGCGUCUGAUACUGGAUGGCUUGAGUUUGGGAGAGGGAUGCGGAAUUCCAGGUGUAGCGGUGAAAUGCGCAGAUAUCAGGAGGAACACCGGUGGCGAAGGCGGGUCUCUGGGCCGAUACUGACGCUGAUGUGCGAAAGCAUGGGGAGCGAACAGG